rnacentral:rRNA from 1 species
UAGGGAAUCUUCGGCAAUGGACGAAAGUCUGACCGAGCAACGCCGCGUGAGUGAAGAAGGUUUUCGGAUCGUAAAACUCUGUUGUUAGAGAAGAACAAGGACGUUAGUAACUGAACGUCCCCUGACGGUAUCUAACCAGAAAGCCACGGCUAACUACGUGCCAGCAGCCGCGGUAAUACGUAGGUGGCAAGCGUUGUCCGGAUUUAUUGGGCGUAAAGCGAGCGCAGGCGGUUUCUUAAGUCUGAUGUGAAAGCCCCCGGCUCAACCGGGGAGGGUCAUUGGAAACUGGGAGACUUGAGUGCAGAAGAGGAGAGUGGAAUUCCAUGUGUAGCGGUGAAAUGCGUAGAUAUAUGGAGGAACACCAGUGGCGAAGGAGGCUCUCUGGUCUGUAACUGACGCUGAGGCUCGAAAGCGUGGGGAGCAAACAGG